UGACAUUUAACUAUUUGGGUCUAUCAAA
rnacentral:sRNA from 1 species